AACGAACGCUGGCGGCAGGCUUAACACAUGCAAGUCGAACGCCCCGCAAGGGGAGUGGCAGACGGGUGAGUAACGCGUGGGAAUCUACCCAGAUCUUCGGAACAACUGAGGGAAACUUCAGCUAAUACCGGAUACGCCCUACGGGGGAAAGAUUUAUCGGAUUUGGAUGAGCCCGCGUUGGAUUAGCUAGUUGGUGGGGUAAUGGCCUACCAAGGCGACGAUCCAUAGCUGGUCUGAGAGGAUGAUCAGCCACACUGGGACUGAGACACGGCCCAGACUCCUACGGGAGGCAGCAGUGGGGAAUACUGGACAAUGGGCGAAAGCCUGAUCCAGCCAUGCCGCGUGAGUGAUGAAGGCCUUAGGGUUGUAAAGCUCUUUCAGUAGGGAAGAUAAUGACGGUACCUACAGAAGAAGCCCCGGCUAACUUCGUGCCAGCAGCCGCCGUAAUAC
rnacentral:rRNA from 1 species